GAUGAACGCUGGCGGUAUGCUUAACACAUGCAAGUCGAACGAAAGUUUUUAAUUUUAGUGGCGAACGGGUGCGUAAUACGUGAGAAUCUGCCCUUAGGAGGAGUAUAACUGCUGGAAACGGCUGCUAACACUCCAUAUGUCGAGAGAUGAAAUAAUUUAUUGCCUAAGGAUGAGCUCGCGCCUGAUUAGCUAGUUGGUGAGGUAAUGGCUCACCAAGGCCACGAUCAGUAGCUGGUUUGAGAGAACGAUCAGCCACACUGGGACUGAGACACGGCCCAGACUCCUCCGGGAGGCAGCAGUGAGGAAUUUUCCGCAAUGGGCGAAAGCCUGACGGAGCAAUACCGCGUGAGGGAUGAAGGAUUUUGGUCUGUAAACCUCUUUUCUCAAGAAAGAAGUUCUGACGGUACUUGAGGAAUAAGCAUCGGCUAACUCCGUGCCAGCAGCCGCGGUAAUACGGGGGAUGCAAGCGUUAUCCGGAAUCAUUGGGCGUAAAGCGCCUGUAGGUUGUUUAAUAAGUCUGUUGUUAAAGACUAGGGCUCAACCCUAGAAAAGCAAUGGAAACUGUUAGACUAGAGUAUGGCAGGGGUAGAGGGAAUUUCUAGUGUAGCGGUGAAAUGCGUAGAUAUUAGAAAGAACACCGGUGGCGAAAGCGCUCUACUGGACCAUUACUGACACUCAGAGGCGAAAGCUAGGGUAGCAAAAGGGAUUAGAUACCCCUGUAGUCCUAGCCGUAAACGAUGGAUACUAGAUGUUGUAUGUUAUUUACAGUAUCGUAGCUAACGCGUUAAGUAUCCCGCCUGGGGAGUACGCUCGCAAGGGUGAAACUCAAAGGAAUUGACGGGGGCCCGCACAAGCGGUGGAGCAUGUGGUUUAAUUCGAUGCAACGCGAAGAACCUUACCAGGGCUUGACAUACUACAGAUUCUUUUG
rnacentral:rRNA from 1 species